rnacentral:rRNA from 1 species
UACGGAGGGUGCGAGCGUUGUCCGGAAUCAUUGGGCGUAAAGGGCGCGUAGGCGGCCUGGCAAGUGGAAGGUGAAAUCCCUCGGCUUAACCGAGGAACUGCCUCCCAAACUGCUUGGCUUGAGACCGGGAGAGGUGAGUGGAAUUCCCAGUGUAGCGGUGAAAUGCGUAGAUAUUGGGAGGAACACCAGUGGCGAAGGCGGCUCACUGGACCGGUACUGACGCUGAUGCGCGAAAGCGUGGGGAGCAAACGGG